CCUACGGGUGGCAGCAGUGGGGAAUAUUGCACAAUGGGGGGAACCCUGAUGCAGCGACGCCGCGUGGGUGAGGAAGUACUUCGGUAUGUAAAGCCCUAUCAGCAGGGAAGAAAAUGACGGUACCUGACUAAGAAGCCCCGGCUAACUACGUGCCAGCAGCCGCGGUAAUACGUAGGGGGCAAGCGUUAUCCGGAUUUACUGGGUGUAAAGGGAGCGUAGACUGUGAGGUAAGUCAGCGGUGAAAUGCCCCCGCUCAACGGGGUGAAGUGCCAUUGAUACUGCCUUGCUGGAAUGCGGAUGCCGUGGGAGGAAUGUGUGGUGUAGCGGUGAAAUGCAUAGAUAUCACACAGAACACCGAUUGCGAAGGCAUCUCACGAAUCCGCGAUUGACGCUGAUGCACGAAAGCGUGGGUAUCAAACAGGAUUAGAUACCCUAGUAGUC
rnacentral:rRNA from 1 species